UCAGGUUCAUGGUACAGAGGAAGGGUCAAACUACCACCAGGGUCAUAAAACUACCCCUGGAAAUGCUCACAUCUCCUAGGAAAGCCUUGUCAAAUAGGUGUUUCUUCAGGUUCAUGGUACAGAGGAAGGGUCAAACUACCACCAGGGUCAUAAAACUACCCCUGGAAAUGCUCACAACUCCUAGGAAAGCCUUGUCAAAUAGGUGUUUCUUCAGGUUCAUGGUACAGAGGAAGGGUCAAACUACCACCAGGGUCAUAAAACUACCCCUGGAAAUGCCCACAACUCCUAGGAAAGCCUUGUCAAAUAGGUGUUUCUUCAGGUUCAUGGUACAGAGGAAGGGUCAAACUACCACCAGGGUCAUAAAACUACCCCUGGAAAUGCCCACAACUCCUAGGAAAGCCUUGUCAAAUAGGUGUUUCUUCAGGUUCACGGUACAGAGGAAGGGGCAAACUACCACCAGGGUCAUAAAACUACUCCUGGAAAUGCCCACAACUCCAAGGAAAGCCUUGUCAAAUAGGUGUUUCUUCAGGUUCAUGGUACAGAGGAAGGGUCAAACUACCACCAGGGUCA